UCCCUCUCUCACCUUAUCUCCUUACCUGCCUAUCAUCUCCCUCUGGUACUCCUCCUCCUUCCUUUCCUUUCAUGGUCUUCUGUCCUCUCCUAUCAGAUUCCUCCUUCUCCAGCCUUUUAUUUCUUUCACCAAUUAACUUCCCAGCUCUUUUCUUCAUCUCUCCCUCUCUCCCGGAUUCACCUAUCACCUGCCAUCUUGUACUUCUUUCUCCCCUCCCCCCACCUUCUCCCCUUCCUUUUCAGUCCCGAAGAAGGGACUCAGCCCAAAACAUUGUCCGUUUACUCUUUUUCGUAGAUGCUGCCUGACUUGCUGAGUUCCUCCAGCAUUGUGUGUGUGUUGCUCUGAAUGAUUGAGUUUACCCUUUGCAAAAGAGUAAUAAUUCUUUCUUCUGUCACAAGUCCAAGAUCCUUCAAGUGGGAACAGCUUGCAUUUACCUAAGACCUUCAGCGGGGUAACAUGAUUAGCUCUUGUCACCAGAGUGUUAUGCAAAGCCAUCUGAUGCUUGGCCACAGGACAGGUGACAUCAGGACAGGAUUUAGAGAAGGAAAGAGAAACGUGUGGAGUAUGUCCACGAUACCUCGAGGAGCAGUACCGAGGAGAAAUCCAGUAUUUUGGUCAGAGGAAGAGAUGGUGCUGACCAUCCAGGACAUCUGGUCUAACCCAUGGCUGCUGAAAGCACAAUGGAAGCAAGUAGUCAGUACCCAAUGAUACAGGGUGGAAAGGGAAGGAAAAAGAAGUCCUGAAAGCAGUUGCAGGUGCUUUUAUUGUGAGCGGCUUGACCGUGGUGUGAAAUGGAAGAAAUCUCAACUGAAGAAGGACCCUUAUGCCCGUGAAAAUGACUGUGGCCUCAAUCUCUGAAGAUAAAGCAAGAACGCUUGUAAUCUUGGAGUUGGAUAAAAGGCGGGCAUUCUGUUGUGGGCCGAAAGGAUAACUGUGCAGAGUUGUUCUGCGUCCUUUGUUUUAAGAGCAAUCUUUAAAGUGCUUGUCAUUGACAAGCCACAUCAAAGCAGGCUCAGGCUUCUCUGAAUGCCCAGAAUGCCCAGAAUGCAGGACCUGAGAGCAAUGCCUUCUUGAAACAAUGAGCCCAAAAUACAGCAAUAUCCAUUCUCUGUACUCUCCGCCUGCCCCACCAAUGGCAGUGCAUUUUCCUAUGCUUUGGACCCCUCCCACACUACCCUCCUUCCACCGUGUGAAGUGUGCUCUGAGUGGCAACCAAGCCCCAGAUGGGGGGACCCCAAAGCUCCAGGCCCAUCAUAAUGGCUUUUAACAGCUCACUGUCAAUGGGAUUUUCACUGCUUUAACAUAUUUUUGAUUUUAUGAGAAAUUUAUAAAACAGUUUGAAAGACUUAAACUUAAGAGUGUUCAAAAGCAUUUGGGACUCAGGAUUUCCAGCUACUGAAGAAUCUCUUGAAUUCAUAAAAGGUUUAAAGCAAAUUUUAAGGCAAUUUUUAACUACUGUGAGUUGAUUAGAAAUACGAUAUUUAUUUAUUGGCUGAUUGAUUGAUUAAUUGGGAUAGAGAGCAGAAUAGGUCCUUGCUGCUCUGCAAGCAAUGCCGCUAGUACUCCCCUGACUGAACCCUAGCCCCCACCAAUUGAACCCAGAUCUGUACUGUAAAGCAUUAUGCUAACUACUGCAUUACCACGCAAAAGUAUAAAAGUAAAGAAAACUAAUUAAACUCAUCUUACGUCAAAUGAAUGGGGUUAUUGUUUGUAAUUAGUGACACAAAACAAAAGACUGGGCAAGUAGUGUAUCUAAAUUCGGAACAACCCACGGACUCAGUGGUGAGUUCAACGAGAGAUCACCCAUAGCUGACCACUUCGCGGUGUUAGGCUGCAGAAGUCAAAGAUGCUUCGAACAGCCAAGGGUGAAAGCGAAGGGGUUCAUAUCAGAGUCUGCUCUGCACAAAAUGCUUCGAAGUUGCAACCUGGCCAUUCUGUAAAGUCUGUUACGAGACUGGGUUGAAACUUUGUGCAGAGCUGAGCAGCUUCAUUAUCCUCCUGCUGAAGUGUUGAGGGGAAUUCAGUGGUCAGGCCCCAGAUUUCUGCGAUCUGAUUUUUUAAAAAAUCAUGUUGUUACAUGCUUUAAUUUCCUCAUUCAUGCCAAUUGGCAUGGAAAUGUUUUCUGUCAACUAUGAAGAGAAUGUAGUGAGACAGAGAACUAUACCUUUGUACAGCUGGGACCAGGAAGAAUAAGACAACAGCUGCCAGUUACC